UUGCGCAGCGUCGUUCAUAACACUUGGUGAACGUAAGGCGAAAUGGGGGGAGCGCGCACAGGACGUACGCGCUAGCCGAACUGAAACAGGAGGUUGAAUUGAGGCGCCCCCCAUUUCGCCUGGAGUGAACCUUAGUGUUAUAGACGCGGAGCAU
rfam:Desulfotomaculum ferrireducens strain GSS09, complete genome.